rnacentral:misc_RNA from 1 species
AACGCACCUUGCACCCUCUGGCAUUCCGGAGGGUAUGCCUGUUUGAGUGUCAUUAAUCUCUCAACACAAGAAACUUUGUGUUCUUGUGCUUGGAUGUUGAAGGUUUUGCUGGCGCAAACAACUGUCAGCUCCUUUUAAACGCAUUAGCAGAGCAGUAUGGGACUGGCCUCGGUUUGAUAAGAAACAUUAUCUAUGCUGUCGCUGGGUUUUCCUCUUUGUGCUCAGCUUCAAAUUGUCUUCGGACUGUCUCUUUGAGGCAACAAAAUCUCUAUUGAUCGACCUCAAAUCAGGUAGGACUACCCGCUGAACUUAA